CUCCACAUCCUUUCCCAUCACCACAUUCUCUCCAUGUCCAUCCCCAUGUCCUCCCCAUCUCCAUGUCCUUCUCCAUCUCCAUGUCCUUCCUGUAUCCAUCUCCACAUCCUCCCCAUCUCCAUCUCCUUUUCCUCCUCACCUCCACGUCCAUCUCCAUGUCCUCCCCAUGUUUAUCUCCAUUUCCCUUCCAUCUCCACGUCCAUCUCCACGUCCUUUCCCAUCACCACGUCCUCCCCACGUCCCUCCCCAUCUCCAUGUCCUUCCUGUAUCCACCUCCAUGUCCUUCCCAUGUCCAUCUCCUUUUCCUCCCCAAAUCCAUGUCCUCCCCCUGUCCAUCUCCACGUCCUUCCCCAUGUCCUCCCCAUGUCCAUCUCCACGUCCUCCUCCACCUCCACGUCCUCCCCACGUCCAUCUCCUUUCCCUCCCCACCUCCACGUCCUGCCCCAUGCCCUCCCCACGUCCUCUCCACCUCCACACCUGUCCGACCCCACAUCCAGCCCCACUCAAUCCCACGUCCAUCCUCAUGCCCUCCCCUUGUCCAGCUCCAUGUCCCACCCCGCGUCCUCCCCAUGUCCUGCCCCGUUCUAUUCCAUGCCCACCUUCAUGUCCUCCCCCAUGUCCAUCCCCAUGUCCCACCCCACGUCCACGUCCUACCCCAUAUCCUGUCCCAUAUCCAUCCCCAUGUCCUACCCUAUGUCCUGCCCCAUAUUCAUCCCCAUAUCCAUCCCCAUAUCCUCCCCAUGUCCUCCCCAUGUUCUACCCCAUGUUCUCCCCAUAUCCAUGUGCAUCCCAUAUCCGUCUCCAUGUCCUCUCCAUGUCCUACCCCAUAUCCCACCCCAUAUCCAUCCCUAUAUCUUCCCCAUGUCCUACCCCAUGUCCUCCCCAUAUCCAUCCCCAUAUCCUAUCCCAUAUCCAUCCCCAUAUCCUACCCCCAUCCAUCCCCAUAUCCUACCCCAUAUCCCACCCCAUAUCCAUCCCCGUGUCCUCCCCAUAUCCAUCCCCUAUCCUUCCCAUCUCCAUCUCCAUCUCCACCUCCAUCCCCACAUCCUAGCCCAUCUCCAUCCCCAUGUCCCACCCCAUAUCCGUCCCCACAUCCUGCCCCAUAUCCAUCCCUAUAUCCUCCCCAUGUCCUCCCCAUAUCCAUCCCCAUAUCCCACCCCAUAUCCAUCCCCAUGUCCUCCCAUGCCAUCCCCAUAUCCUAUCCCAUAUUCAUCCCCAUGUCCUACCCCACAUCCCACCCCAUAUCCUCCCCGUAUC
rnacentral:lncRNA from 1 species